CGGCGUGCUUAACACAUGCAAGUCGAACGGAAAGGCCCUGCUUUUGUGGGGUGCUCGAGUGGCGAACGGGUGAGUAACACGUGAGUAACCUGCCCUUGACUUUGGGAUAACUUCAGGAAACUGGGGCUAAUACCGGAUAGGAGCUCCUGCUGCAUGGUGGGGGUUGGAAAGUUUCGGCGGUUGGGGAUGGACUCGCGGCUUAUCAGCUUGUUGGUGGGGUAGUGGCUUACCAAGGCUUUGACGGGUAGCCGGCCUGAGAGGGUGACCGGCCACAUUGGGACUGAGAUACGGCCCAGACUCCUACGGGAGGCAGCAGUGGGGAAUAUUGCACAAUGGGCGGAAGCCUGAUGCAGCAACGCCGCGUGCGGGAUGACGGCCUUCGGGUUGUAAACCGCUUUCGCCUGUGACGAAGCGUGAGUGACGGUAAUGGGUAAAGAAGCACCGGCUAACUACGUGCCAGCAGCCGCGGUGAUACGUAGGGUGCGAGCGUUGUCCGGAUUUAUUGGGCGUAAAGGGCUCGUAGGUGGUUGAUCGCGUCGGAAGUGUAAUCUUGGGGCUUAACCCUGAGCGUGCUUUCGAUACGGGUUGACUUGAGGAAGGUAGGGGAGAAUGGAAUUCCUGGUGGAGCGGUGGAAUGCGCAGAUAUCAGGAGGAACACCAGUGGCGAAGGCGGUUCUCUGGGCCUUUCCUGACGCUGAGGAGCGAAAGCGUGGGGAGCGAACAGGCUUAGAUACCCUGGUAGUCCACGCUGUAAACGGUGGGUACUAGGUGUGGGGUCCAUUCCACGGGUUCCGUGCCGUAGCUAACGCUUUAAGUACCCCGCCUGGGGAGUACGGCCGCAAGGCUAAAACUCAAAGGAAUUGACGGGGCUCCGCACAAGCGGCGGAGCAUGCGGAUUAAUUCGAUGCAACGCGUAGAACCUUACCUGGGUUUGACAUGGAUCGGGAGUGCUCAGAGAUGGGUGUGCCUCUUUUGGGGUCGGUUCACAGGUGGUGCAUGGCUGUCGUCAGCUCGUGUCGUGAGAUGUUGGGUUAAGUCCCGCAACGAGCGCAACCCUUGUUCACUGUUGCCAGCACGUUAUGGUGGGGACUCAGUGGAGACCGCCGGGGUCAACUCGGAGGAAGGUGGGGAUGACGUCAAGUCAUCAUGCCCCUUAUGUCCAGGGCUUCACGCAUGCUACAAUGGCUGGUACAGAGAGUGGCGAGCCUGUGAGGGUGAGCGAAUCUCGGAAAGCCGGUCUCAGUUCGGAUUGGGGUCUGCAACUCGACCUCAUGAAGUCGGAGUCGCUAGUAAUCGCAGAUCAGCAACGCUGCGGUGAAUACGUUCCCGGGGCUUGUACACACCGCCCGUCAAGUCAUGAAAGUUGGUAACACCCGAAGCCGGUGGCCUAACCGUUGUGGGGGAGCCGUCGAAGGUGGGACUGGUGAUUAGGACUA
rnacentral:rRNA from 1 species